UAACACGUGAGCAAUCUGCCCUUGACUCUGGUAUAACUGCGGGAAACUGUAGCUAAUACCGGAUACGACACCUUGGGGCAUCCCAGGGUGUGGAAAGAAUUUCGGUCAAGGAUGAGCUCGCGGCCUAUCAGCUAGUUGGUGAGGUAAUGGCUCACCAAGGCGACGACGGGUAGCCGGCCUGAGAGGGUGACCGGCCACACUGGAACUGAGACACGGUCCAGACUCCUACGGGAGGCAGCAGUGGGGAAUAUUGCACAAUGGGCGAAAGCCUGAUGCAGCAACGCCGCGUGAGGGAUGAAGGCCUUCGGGUUGUAAACCUCUUUUAGCAGGGAAGAAGCGAAAGUGACGGUACCUGCAGAAAAAGCACCGGCUAACUACGUGCCAGCAGCCGCGGUAAUACGUAGGGUGCAAGCGUUGUCCGGAAUUAUUGGGCGUAAAGAGCUCGUAGGCGGUUUGUCGCGUCUGCUGUGAAAAUCCGAGGCUCAACCUCGGACCUGCAGUGGGUACGGGCAAGCUAGAGUGCGGUAGGGGAGAUGGGAAUUCCUGGUGU
rnacentral:rRNA from 1 species